GGCAAAAUACACGAAUGGGUAUCAUUUUUCUAAAACCGAAAAAUCAAAACCGAACCCGAACCGAACCGAAAAUCAAGCAGCGGAGAUCUGUUAACACAAUCUCGGCUAACGAAAUAUAUUUCUGGUGGGAAAAGAAUGCGUGAAGAGUCUUUACAUAUUCUCUUGAUCCUUGUCCUCCUCUUCUGGAUAAUUCAUCGGAGGAUUUCUUCCGUGUCAACAUGACGGGCACAAUUGUAACUCUUAGCUCAAGUGUUGGUUUAAUAUAUUUCUACUGCUCGAGGCUUCCUUCGGAUGAGUACUUCAAACCAGCUCCGAGAUUUGAUAUAAACAAGGAUCAGGGAACUUGCACUAUUUACCUUCCUAAGAGCUGCCCAGUACAAAAAGUUUUUAUUCAAGGAAAUAGUAAUGUGUUAAAACAAGCUGCCAGUCUUGAAGCUUGCAUUGAGGUGUAUAAAGCUAAAGCUCUAAGUGAUUAAACAACACUAUAACACCCACAACACUAUAAUUCGAUGAAAAUAUAUUCUGUCUUUCAUCGGAUUGAUGAUGGU